GAAAUGCGAUAAGUAAUGUGAAUUGCAGAAUUCAGUGAAUCAUCGAAUCUUUGAACGCACAUUGCGCCCGCCAGCACUCUGGCGGGCAUGCCUGUUCGAGCGUCAUUUCAACCCUCAGAACCCCUUGCGGGAUCUGGCGUUGGGGAUUGGCAUCCAGCCAGCCCCGAAAUCUAGUGGCGGUCCCUCCGCGACCUCCCCUGUGCAGUAGCGAUACCUCGCAGCGGGACAGCGGUCUGACCACGCCGUAAAACCCCCAAAUUCUCAAGGUUGACCUCGAAUCAGGUAGGAAUACCCGCUGAACUUAAGC
rnacentral:misc_RNA from 1 species